AUUGAACGCUGGCGGCAUGCUUUACACAUGCAAGUCGAACGGUAACAGGCCUUCGGGUGCUGACGAGUGGCGAACGGGUGAGUAAUGCAUCGGAACAUACCCAGUCGUGGGGGAUAACGUAGCGAAAGUUACGCUAAUACCGCAUACGUCCUGAGGGAGAAAGCGGGGGAUCGCAAGACCUCGCGCGAUUGGAGUGGCCGAUGUCAGAUUAGCUAGUUGGUGGGGUAAAGGCCCACCAAGGCGACGAUCUGUAGCGGGUCUGAGAGGAUGAUCCGCCACACUGGGACUGAGACACGGCCCAGACUCCUACGGGAGGCAGCAGUGGGGAAUUUUGGACAAUGGGGGCUACCCUGAUCCAGCCAUGCCGCGUGCGGGAAGAAGGCCUUCGGGUUGUAAACCGCUUUCGGACAGAAAGAAAUCGCAUGGGCUAAUACCCUGUGUGGAUGACGGUACUGUAAGAAGAAGCACCGGCUAACUACGUGCCAGCAGCCGCCGUAA
rnacentral:rRNA from 1 species